rnacentral:rRNA from 1 species
UACAGAGGUCUCAAGCGUUGUUCGGAUUCAUUGGGCGUAAAGGGUGCGUAGGCGGCGCGGUAAGUCGGGUGUGAAAUCUCGGGGCUUAACUCCGAAACUGCAUUCGAUACUGCCGUGCUUGAGGACUGGAGAGGAGGCUGGAAUUUACGGUGUAGCGGUGAAAUGCGUAGAUAUCGUAAGGAAGACCAGUGGCGAGGGCGGGUCUCUGGACAGUUCCUGACGCUGAGGCACGAAGGCCAGGGGAGCAAACGGG